rnacentral:misc_RNA from 1 species
CACACACACACACACACACAGACAAUAAUUUCAUUUUUUGGAUCUAGUUUGUUGGGGGCCUUUUGCAACAUUAACUGGGGAUGGUGUGUCAAUAUGAUAUUUUAGGUGCAUAUUAUGUCGGUGGAAGGAGUAGAACAAAACAAAUGAAAUUGGUGCAUCUUUAAUAUAAUUAUAUUUGAUUGGUGGUAUGGGUUUUCAUCUAUUUAUAUCUACUCAAUUUCAUUACUCUGAGGCUGUAUCAGCUUUUUAAUUGUGUAAUUGUUGGCAAGUAUAAAUUUCUAUGAAAUGGAUGAGUGACUGCUCAAAUUUAAUUAUAUAUGCUUAGUAAAUGAGACUAGAGUGUUCUGAAUAAAGGCAUCUUUGUACUAUGAAAUCGUUUUAAAUCAUAAGAUUUCUGUAAACAUUCUUUAGUUUUUAAUGGUAAAACUUGGUGGUUCAUAGUUUUAAAGCUGCCUACAUGGGGCCCCAAAGGAAUACUGUAAUGGUUAGAGCUUGAAAUUUUCAAUAUGGAGAUCUUAUAUUAAAAAUCCUUGGAUGGGGAUUGUUUUGUAGCCAACCUUUGGAUUGGAAAGAGGGGCUAUUUGAGUAGUAUUUACCUGCUCCUUUACAUAAUCCAUAUAUGGUUUCUAUCAUAUUGGUGGUGAUUACAUGUGAGUUAACUAUAUUUGGGGCUUUCUUUUCUAGCAUUACUGCCAUGUCCUUUUGAAUUCCUGCAACUACUAUGGGUCCUUUCUGAUUUUUUUAACUUUUUUUGGUUUCUUUCUCGUUUUUGGUUUAUGGGUUUGAAAAUUGCAUUGGAAAUUGUUCUUCAUGAAAAUGUUAGCGUAUUUAUGCAUAUAGCAGAAUCUAGAUUCUUGGAGCUCAGAUGUUUAAAAUAGUGAAGCUGCAUUUGUUUGUUGAACUGGUAAUCAAGAGAUUAGAUUUCAAUCAUUGCAAAAUGGCCUGUGGUGAUAUGGUUUUUUUGGUUUGUUUAUGAUCUAGUGUAAGUUUCAUAAUUCAGUCUGCUUCGCAAAAAUCUUGAAGCUUUAUCAUAAAAUGUUGUUAAAUUUACUAGUUAAUGGUUCCUAUGCCAUUUGGUUAUUAAUUUGAUGUAGUGGAUGUGAUGUGUGAUGAUUAGCUAGAAAUGGUAAAAUGUAAUUUUGGAUUGAAAAGACUAUAAUUGCUCAUUGGCUUAUUAUAUUUUUUGGCCUUUGUUAGAUUGCAUGCACUAUAGCAUGGAG